AAUGAACGCUAGCGGCAUGCCUAAUACAUGCAAGUCGAACGGAGUGGCGGACGGGUGAGCAAUAUAUCGGAACGUCCCCAGUUGCGGGGGAUAACUACUUGAAAGAGUGGUAAAUACCGCAUACCAUUGCAUUGGCCGAUCUCGGAUUAGCUAGUGGGUGGGGUAAAGGCUCACCAAGGCAACGAUCCGUAGCUGGUUUGCGAGGACGACCAGCCACACUGGGACUGAGACACGGCCCAGACUCCUACGGGAGGCAGCAGUGGGGAAUUUUGGACAAUGGGGGAAACCCUGAUCCAGCCAUCCCGCGUGUAUGAUGAAGGCCUUCGGGUUGUAAAGUACUUUUGGCAGGGAAGCGGUACCUGCAGAAUAAGCACCGGCUAACUACGUGCCAGCAGCCGCGGUAAUUC
rnacentral:rRNA from 1 species